UACGGAGGAUGCAAGCGUUAUCCGGAAUUACUGGGCGUAAAGCGUGCGCAGGCGGUUUUGUAAGCCAGAUGUGAAAUCCCCGGGCUUAACCUGGGAAUGGCAUUUGGGACUGCAAGGCUCGAGUGCGGCAGAGGAGACUGGAAUUCCUGGUGUAGCAGUGAAAUGCGUAGAUAUCAGGAGGAACACCAGUGGCGAAGGCGGAGACCUGGGCCGAUACUGACGCUGAGGUGCGAAAGCGUGGGGAGCAAACAGG
rnacentral:rRNA from 1 species